UGGUGGAGUGAUUUGUCUGGUUAAUUCCGUUAACGAACGAGACCUCGACCUGCUAAAUAGUUGGCAUCAUCCUUGUGAUGGUGUGAUAACUUCUUAGAGGGACUAUCGGUGUGUAGCCGAUGGAAGUUCGAGGCAAUAACA
rnacentral:rRNA from 1 species